UACGAAGGGGGCUAGCGUUGUUCGGAAUUACUGGGCGUAAAGCGCACGUAGGCGGAUACUUAAGUCAGGGGUGAAAUCCCGGGGCUCAACCCCGGAACCGCCUUUGAUACUGGGUAUCUCGAGUCCGGAAGAGGUGAGUGGAAUUCCGAGUGUAGAGGUGAAAAUUCGUAGAUAUUCGGAGGAACACCAGUGGCGAAGGCGGCUCACUGGUCCGGUACUGACGCUGAGGUGCGAAAGCGUGGGGAGCAAACAGG
rnacentral:rRNA from 1 species